GAUGAAGAACGUAGCGUAAUGCGAUAAGUAGUGUGAAUUGCAGAAUUCAGUGAAUCAUCGAAUCUUUGAACGCACAUUGCGCCCCUUGGUAUUCCGAGGGGCAUGCCUGUUCGAGCGUCAUUAUAACCCCUCAAGCUCAGCUUGGUGUUGGGGCCUGCCGCACGGGCAGCCCUUAAAAUCAGUGGCGGUGCCAUCUGGCUCUAAGCGUAGUAAUUCUUCUCGCUAUAGAGUCCCGGUGGAUGCUUGCCAUUAACCCCCAAUUUUCUAUGGUUGACCUCGGAUCAGGUAGGGAUACCCGCUGAACUUAAGCAUAUCAAUAAGCGGAGGA
rnacentral:misc_RNA from 1 species